rnacentral:rRNA from 1 species
AGCGAACGCUGGCGGCGGGCCUAACACAUGCAAGUCGAACGGAACCUUCGGGAUUGGUGGCGGACGGGGGAGUAAAACGUGGGAAAAUGCCCGUGGGAUCUGAACAAGUCAGGGAAACAUCAGCUAAUAACGGAGGUGACCACCGGGGGGAAGAUUUAUCGGCAUUGGAGCGGCCGGAGUCUGUUUAGCGAGGUGGUGGGGCAAGCGGCCACCAAGGCGGCUAGCAGGAGCGGGGCUGAGAGGAUGAUCAGCGACACUGGGACACAGACACGGCCCAGACUCGUGCGGGAGGCAGCAGUUGGGGAUCUUGCGGUAUGGGCGAGAGGCUGACGCAGCCAUGGCGGGUGGAUGAUGAAGGUGUUAUGAUUGUAUUAUUCUUUUAGCGGAGCUGUGUAUGACGGUACCCGCAGAAGAAGCUCCGGCUAACUUCGUG